CCAAGCUACUAAGGGCACACGAUGAAUGCCUUGGCACUGAGAGGCGAUGAAGGACGUAGCUACCUGCGAUAAGCCACGGGCUGCUGGAAGCAAGCUCAUCCGUGGAUUUCCGAAUGGGGCAACCCCGCCGGGCAAACCCCGGCGAUCGACCGCUGAAUACAUAGGCGGCCGAAGCCAACCGAGAGAACUGAAACAUCUUAGUACCUCGAGGAAGAGAAAGCAAAAAGCGAUUCCGCUAGUAGUGGCGAGCGAACGCGGAACAGCCCAAACCCUACGUACGUGAUAGGUCGUAUCCGUUGUGCGUAGGGGGUUGUGGGGCGGACAGUCGGGGCAAUACGAGGCCCCGGGAAGGUUACAAAUCUUGCCGUUAGCUGAAGACCGCUGGGUAAGCGGCACCAUAGACGGUGAUAGUCCGGUAAGCGAAAACGACAGGACCUUCUUUGUUCGUUCCCAAGUAAUGCGGGUCACGUGGAACCCCGCGUGAAUCAGGGAGGCCCAUCUCCUAAGGCUAAAUACUACUCAGUGACCGAUAGUGAACCAGUACCGUGAGGGAAAGGUGAAAAGAACCCCGAAGGGGGAGUGAAAUAGUACCUGAAAUCGUGUGCUUACAAUCAGUGGGAGGACGAUGGCUUCGGCCCGUCUGACCGCGUGCCUUUUGCAUAAUGAGUCUGCGACUUACUCUGUGUAGCGAGGCUAAGGGCUUAUGGUCCGGAGCCGCAGCGAAAGCGAGUCCGAACAGGGCGUUUAGUUGCACGGAGUAGACCCGAAACCGGGUGAUCUAUCCAUGGCCAGGGUAAAGUUCCCGUAAAAGGGAAUGGAGGCCCGAACCAGUGGCAGUUGAAAAUGCUUUGGAUGAGCUGUGGAUAGGGGUGAAAGGCCAAUCAAACUCGGAUAUAGCUGGUUCUCCCCGAAAUAUAUUUAGGUAUAGCGUCGCACGGUAGCAAACGGGGGUAGAGCACUGAAUGGGCUAGGGGUCCUACCAGAUUACUGAACCCAAUCAAACUCCGAAUACCGUUUGUGGAACUGCGGCAGUCAGACUGCGGGGGAUAAGCUCCGUAGUCGAGAGGAAAAGAAUCCAGACCGUCAGCUAAGGUCCCAAAGAUACGCUAAGUGGGAAACGAUGUGUAAUUGCCCAGACAACCAGGAUGUUGGCUUAGAAGCAGCCAUUCAUUCAAAGAGUGCGUAACAGCUCACUGGUCGAGUGAUUAUGCGCGGAAGAUGUACCGGGGCUAAGCGUAACACCGAAGCUACGGCUUCUGAUCGUAAGAUCAGAGGGGUAGGGGAGCAUUCUGUACCGGGAUAAAGCAUGACCGUGAGGACAUGUGAACUGUACAGAAGUGAUCAUGCAGACAUUAGUAACGACAAGACAGGUGAGAAACCUGUCCGCCGUAAACCCAAGGUUUCCCGGGCCAGGGUAAUCCGCCCGGGGUUAGUCGGAACCUAAGCCGAGGCCGAGAGGCGUAGGCGAUGGAAAACAGGCACAAAGAUUCCUGUACCACCGCGUCACCGUUUGAGCGAUGGGGCGACGCAGGAGGAUAAGGCACCCGUCAAUCGGCAUUCGCAAGAUGAUGGCGGGCUAAGCGCGCGGGAGGCAGCCCCGGCAAAUCCAGGCUGCAAUACUCCGAGGCGUUAAGGGACGCAAAGACUUCGGUUAAUGCGGAUUGUCUGAUUCCACACUGCCUAGAAAACCCUCUAGCGAGGAGGCCGGUGUCCGUACCGUAAACCGACACAGGUGGGUGAGAAGAGUAUUCUAAGGCGCUCGGGAGAACCACUCUUAAGGAACUCGACCAAUUGGCCCCGUAACUUCGGAAGAAGGGGUGCUCCGGCCGGUGAAGGGCUUGCCCCGUAAGCUGGUUGGAGUUGCAACAAAGAGGCUCAGGCGACUGUUUAACAAAAACACAGGUCUCUGCUAAGUCGUAAGACAAUGUAUAGGGACUGACGCCUGCCCAAUGCCGGAAGGUUAACGGGAGGAGUUAGCAUAAUUCGUUGUGCGAAGCUCUGAACCGAAGCCCUGGUUAAUGGCGGCCGUAACUAUAACGGUCCUAAGGUAGCGAAAUUCCUUGUCGGGUAAG
rnacentral:rRNA from 1 species